AGAGUUUGAUCCUGGCUCAGGAUGAACGCUGACAGAAUGCUUAACACAUGCAAGUCGAUGGGGAAGUGGUGCUUGCACCAUGGUAACCAUGGCGGACGGGUGAGUAACGCGUAAGGAACUUGCCUGCGGGACCGGGAUAACAGCAGGAAACUGCUGACAAGACCGGAUAAGGUCAUUAAGCUGCAUAGCUUUGUGAUGAAAGGAGACGCCUGCGGAGAGCCUUGCGUCCUAUUAGCUAGUUGGAGGGGUAACGGCCCACCAAGGCGAAGAUAGGUAGCCGGCCUGAGAGGGUGGACGGCCACAAGGGGACUGAGAUACGGCCCUUACUCCUACGGGAGGCAGCAGUGGGGAAUAUUGGACAAUGGGGGCAACCCUGAUCCAGCAAUUCUGUGUGCACGAUGAAGGUUUUCGGAUUGUAAAGUGCUUUCAGCAGGGAAGAAAAAAAUGACGGUACCUGCAGAAGAAGCGACGGCUAAAUACGUGCCAGCAGCCGCGGUAAUACGUAUGUCGCGAGCGUUAUCCGGAAUUAUUGGGCAUAAAGGGCAUCUAGGCGGCCUUUCAAGUCAGGGGUGAAAACCUGCGGCUCAACCGCAGGCCUGCCUUUGAAACUGAUAGGCUGGAGUACCGGAGAGGUGGACGGAACUGCACGAGUAGAGGUGAAAUUCGUAGAUAUGUGCAGGAAUGCCGAUGAUGAAGAUAGUUCACUGGACGGUAACUGACGCUGAAGUGCGAAAGCUAGGGGAGCAAACAGGAUUAGAUACCCUGGUAGUCCUAGCUGUAAACGAUGAUUACUGGGUGUGGGCAUGAAGAGUGUCCGUGCCGAAGCUAAUGCGAUAAGUAAUCCGCCUGGGGAGUACGGCCGCAAGGCUGAAACUCAAAGGAAUUGACGGGGACCCGCACAAGCGGUGGAGCAUGU
rnacentral:rRNA from 1 species